rnacentral:rRNA from 1 species
ACGCACGCUGGCGGCGUGCUUAACACAUGCAAGUCGAACGGAAAGGCCCUGCUUGCAGGGUACUCGAGUGGCGAACGGGUGAGUAACACGUGGGUGAUCUGCCCUGCACUUCGGGAUAAGCCUGGGAAACUGGGUCUAAUACCGGAUAGGAGCCAUUUUUAUGGUGAUGGUUGGAAAGUUUUUUCGGUGUAGGAUGAGCUCGCGGCCUAUCAGCUUGUUGGUGGGGUAAUGGCCUACCAAGGCGGCGACGGGUAGCCGGCCUGAGAGGGUGGACGGCCACAUUGGGACUGAGAGACGGCCCAGACGCCUACGGGAGGCAGCAGUGGGGAAUAUUGCACAAUGGGCGCAAGCCUGAUGCAGCGACGCCGCGUGGGGGAUGACGGCCUUCGGGUUGUAAACUCCUUUCGCUAGGGACGAAGCUUUUUGUGACGGUACCUAGAUAAGAAGCACCGGCUAACUACGUG